UGCCAGCCGCCGCGGUAAUACGUAGGGAGCGAGCGUUAUCCGGAAUUAUUGGGCGUAAAGCGUGCGUAGGCGGUUCGUUAAGUCAAAUCUGAAAGCCCACAGCUUAACUGUGGAGGGUGAUUUGAAACUGGCGAGCUUGAGUAUGGUAGAGGGAAGUGGAAUUCCGAGUGUAGGGGUGAAAUCCGUAGAUAUUCGGAGGAACACCAGUGGCGAAGGCGGCUUUCUGGACCGAUACUGACGCUGAGACGCGAAAGCGUGGGGAGCAAACAGGAUUAGAUA
rnacentral:rRNA from 1 species